rnacentral:rRNA from 1 species
UCCGUAGGUGAACCUGCGGAAGGAUCAUUACCACGCGAUCCACAUCGCUUACACUCUGGUAACACACCGUCGCCGCUGGCUGUGGCGAUGCAGCAAGUAACAGCCCCCCGUGUCCCGUUAGGAGGUGGCAGCGCAGGCCGCUCGCGGUGAGCGCGCGCCUCUGGGGGAGGUGGCACCUCUGGUGCCCCUCACAACGGUGACGCCCAACCUUUACAACCUUGACUGAACCCGCGUGUCUGAAACGUCAUUGGUGCGGCCGCCAGGCCCCCAGUGCAAGUAACAGAUCACAACUUUUAGCGGUGGAUGUCUCGGCUCCUACGACGAUGAAGAACGCAGCGAAAUGCGAUACGUAAUGCGAAUUGCAGAAAUCGUGAAUCAUCAAAUCUUUGAACGCACAUUGCGCUCCUCGGAGCAUGCCUGUUUCAGUGUCUGCAACACCCCUCACCAACACACUUGUUGUGCUGGUGGACUAUGGGCCUCCCGGCGCAAGCCGCGUGGCCUGAAGUGCGCUGGGGUGCCGUCUUUGUUGCGCAGUGGUGGAUCGCGCAGCAGGCAGCCGUGGUGUGGUGGUCCCCGGAAACGGGAACAGCCCCCAUGUUGCUGCUCUGCUGCCGCCACCGUCUUACAUGCUGCCAGCAGGACAAAGGCACGCCGGGCUUUGAGUAGCCCGCCCAACCCUUCUUUGAGUUGGACCUGAAAUCAAGCAAGGAGACCCGCUGGAUUUAAGCAUAUAAAUAAGCGGAGGAAAAGAAACUAACAAGGAUUCCCUCAGUAACGGCGAGUGAAGCGGGAAGAGCUCAAACUUGAAAUCGGCUUGCCGAAUUGUAGUCUAGAGAGGCGACGCCAGUGGCCGGCCCGGGUUAAGUGCCCUGCGAAUGGGCUGUCAGAGAGGGUGAUAACCCCGUCUUUGCCUGGGAUGAGCCACGUACGGCCCGCUUUCGAAGAGUCGAGUUGCUUGGGAAUGCAGCUCUAAUUGGGUGGUAAAUUCCAUCUAAAGCUAAAUAUCAGUAGGAGACCGACAGCGAACAAGUACCGUGAGGGAAAGAUGAAAAGAACUUUGAAGAGAGAGUGAAAAGUACCUGAAACCGCUAAAAGGGAAACGCUUGAAGU